rnacentral:rRNA from 1 species
AACGAACGCUGGCGGCAUGCCUAACACAUGCAAGUCGAACGAGACCUUCGGGUCUAGUGGCGCACGGGUGCGUAACGCGUGGGAACCUGCACUUAGGUUCGGAAUAACUCCCCGAAAGGGGUGCUAAUACCGGAUAAUGUCUUCGGACCAAAGAUUUAUCGCCUUUGGAUGGGCCCGCGUUGGAUUAGCUAGUUGGUAGGGUAAAAGCCUACCACGGCGACGAUCCAUAGCUGGGCUGAGAGGAUGAUCAGCCACACUGGGACGGAGACACGGCCCAGACUCCUACGGGAGGCAGCAGUGGGGAAUAUUGGACAAUGGGCGAAAGCCUGAUCCAGCAAUGCCGCGUGAGUGAUGAAGGCCUUAGGGUUGUAAAGCGCUUUUACCCGGGAUGAUAAUGACAGUACCGGGAGAAUAAGCUCCGGCUAACUCCGUG